GUCUUCCUCUUUGGUCUUGAUUCCGCCUUCUCCACAAGCUGGGCUCUGUUGGAAUUAUAUCUGGAUUCCCUUCUCAUCCUCCCCAGAGUCUUGCUCUGCUGCACUGGCUGGCCUUAAACUCAAAGAAAACCUUCUGCCUAAGCCUCCUGAAUACUGGGAUUACAGGCAAGAGGCACCAGUUCUGCUCGUGAAUGUCCUUGAUGAGGCACUAAGGAUGACUGCCUGCCUUAAGUCCUAAACCUUGAGGCUGCUUCUCUUUCACAUUCCUUGUGAAUGGUAAUUCUUCCUGCGAGGCUGGACUUCUAGACAGAAUCCUCUACUUAACAACCAAAAUCCUGCCCUGCAGCAGAGCACACAGGCGUCCAGAGAACCCCCAGUGCUUCCCCUGAGCCAGAGAUCUGUACAAAUAUAAAACGUGCCACUUUUCUUGCUGAAACAUUGUUUUAGAAAGUACUGAUGCUGCUAGCUGGAGCUCUUCAAAGUUCUCUGGCACCCUUGAUCACUAUUCUGGGUCCCCGAGGUCCCUGAGACGACGGCCU